UAGUUUGGCGACGUGAUUGGUUCGCUCCUUCCAUGGAGCGUCGAAAGAGGGAACGCCGGUGAAAGUCCGGGACAGCCCCCGCUGCGGUAACCAGAAACGAACGCCGUCCGUAAGCACUGAUCCUCGUUGGAUUGGAAAGCAACGGCAAGUAGGAACCGUCAGGCAAGUCGCCUGGCCUUAGUCUGGAAGUCCGAAGACCUGCCAACCGCCUGUACCUUGG
rnacentral:ncRNA from 2 species